UACAGAGGUCUCAAGCGUUGUUCGGAUUCAUUGGGCGUAAAGGGUGCGUAGGCGGCGCGGUAAGUCGGGUGUGAAAUCUCGGAGCUUAACUCCGAAACUGCAUUCGAUACUGCCGUGCUUGAGGACUGGAGAGGAGACUGGAAUUUACGGUGUAGCGGUGAAAUGCGUAGAUAUCGUAAGGAAGACCAGUGGCGAAGGCGGGUCUCUGGACAGUUCCUGACACUGAGGCACGAAGGCCCAGGGGGAGCAAAACGGGG
rnacentral:rRNA from 1 species